rnacentral:tRNA from 1 species
GCCUGGGUGGCUCAGUCGGUUGGGCGGCCGACUUCGGCUCAGGUCAUGAUCUCACAGUCCGUGGGUUCGAGCCCCGCAUCGGGCU